rnacentral:tRNA from 1 species
GGACGAUUAGCUCAGUUGGUUAGAGCGCUGGCCUCACAUGCCAGAGGUCACUGGUUCAAGUCCAGUAUCGUCCACCA